rnacentral:rRNA from 1 species
GACGAACGCUGGCGGCGUGCUUAACACAUGCAAGUCGAACGAAGUGGCGAACGGGUGAGUAACGCGUAAUCAACCUGCCCUUCAGAGGGGGACAACAGUUGGAAACGACUGCUAAUACCGCAUACUGAAGGAGGGGAUUGCGUCUGAUUAGCUGGUUGGAGGGGUAACGGCCCACCAAGGGGAUGAUCAGUAGCCGGUCUGAGAAGAUGGACGGCCCAAUUGGGACUGGGAAACGGCCCAGACUCCCUCGGGAGGCAGCAGGGGGGAAUCCUCCGCAAUGGGGGAAAGGCUGACGGAGCAACGCCGCGUGAGUGAUGACGGCCUUCGGGUUGUAAAGCUCUGUUAAUCGGGACGCGGUACCGGAAUAGAAAGCCACGGCUAACUACGUGCCAGCAGCCGCGGUAAUUC